CCCACUUCUAUAAGAAUAGACGAAAUUAUGAUCAGCUCUAAACAUAUUUUCGUAAAAUGAAGUUCAUUGGUCUUACUUUGUUCGUGGUAGUUCUCCUAUGUCUUCUGUUAUCUGCUCCUGCAAAAACCCAAUGGACGAGUGUUCAGCCCCACGCCAAUAAAAAAAUUGGAGAAUCUGAUGAUGAUAUAAACGGAGGCCAUCAUUAUUAUGGAUGUUGGAGAUGCUGGAUGCAUUAAUGUUCGUCGUCUUUUGUUGGUCCAUGUAUGAAUAUCAUGGGAUGUAUCGUUAAAGUUUUUUCUUGUCCUAAAUAACUAGGAUAUAUUUGACAAUGUGUUUGUUUUUAAUAUUUGUCAAUUUAUUACAUCUUUUUUUUU